UUGGCCUAGGGGCGCAGCAGUGAGGAAUAUUGGUCAAUGGGCGGAAGCCUGAACCAGCCAAGUAGCGUGCAGGAUGACGGCCCUACGGGUUGUAAACUGCUUUUAUACGGGAAUAACGCGCCUUACGUGUAGGGCUUUGCAUGUACCGUAUGAAUAGGGACCGGCUAAUUCCGUGCCAGCAGCCGCGGUAAUACGGAAGGUCCGGGCGUUAUCCGGAUUUAUUGGGUUUAAAGGGAGCGUAGGCCGCAUGUCAAGCGUGCUGUGAAAUGUCCGGGCUCAACCCGGGCCUUGCAGCGCGAACUGGG
rnacentral:rRNA from 1 species